CCUACGGGAGGCAGCAGUAGGGAAUCUUCCACAAUGGGCGAAAGCCUGAUGGAGCAACGCCGCGUGAGUGAUGAAGGCCUUCGGGUUGUAAAACUCUGUCAUUCGGGACGAACCGGAGUCUGAGGAAAUGCAGACUCUCUGACGGUACCGGAGGAGGAAGCCCCGGCUAACUACGUGCCAGCAGCCGCGGUAAUACGUAGGGGGCAAGCGUUGUCCGGAUUCACUGGGCGUAAAGCGCGCGCAGGCGGUGAUGUAAGUCUGAGGUGAAAACCCGAAGCUCAACUUCGGGACUGCCUUGGAUACUGCGUCACUUGAGGAUAGGAGAGGCAAGGGGAAUUCCACGUGUAGCGGUGAAAUGCGUAGAGAUGUGGAGGAACACCUGUGGCGAAGGCGCCUUGCUGGCCUAUUUCUGACGCUGAGGCGCGAAAGCGUGGGGAGCAAACAGGAUUAGAUACCCUGGUAGUCCACGCUGUAAACGAUGAGUGCUAGGUGUAGGUGGGCUCAUACCCAUCUGUGCCGAAGCUAACGCAUUAAGCACNCGCGNGGAGUACGCGCGAGACGUAGAACGUACGAAGAAGUUAGACGGACGUUGGAGACGNGGCCGACGGACGACACGAGGGGAGGUUAGG
rnacentral:rRNA from 1 species